rnacentral:rRNA from 1 species
AGCGAAGCUAGUUGUAUUAUUAGUUAAUGCAAGAUCGACUACGUCGACUAAAGUUCUAGGUAGAAUAAUGAUGAUGACAAUUUUUUACCUAUAUGUCUUGACCAAGUCUCGUGCCAGCAGUCGCGGUAAUACGUGGAAGACUAGUGUUAUUCAUCUUUAUUAGGUUUAAAGGGUACCUAGACGGUAUUUCUAGCCCAAAAUAGGGUACGGAUUUACUAGAGUUUUAUGUGAGGAGGGGAGUACUCAUAGAGUAGAGAUGAAAUUUUGUUAUACUAUGAGGUAACUGGUGGCGGCGAAAGCAACCUUCUAUGUAUAAACUGACGUUGAGGGACGAAGGCUUGGGUAGCAAAUAGGAUUAGAUACCCUAGUAGUCCAAGCAGACAAUUCUGAAUGCCAUAGAUUAGAUUAUUUUUGGUCUAUAAAUGAAAGUGUAAGCAUUCCACCUUAGGAGUAAUGUGGCAACACAGGAACUGAAAUCAUUAGACCGUUUCUGAAACCAGUAGUGAAGUAUGUUAUUUAAAUUGAUGGUCCACAAAAAACCUUACCACAACUUGAAUAUUUUUAAUUUAUACAAGCGUUGCACGGCUGUCUUCAGUUAAUGUCGUGAGAUUUUGGU